GCUUCUGUAGCUCAGUUGGUUAGAGCGCUGCACCAGAAUCAGCCGUAGGUUCAAUACCUACCAGAGGAC